GACGAACGCUGGCGGCGUGCCUAAUACAUGCAAGUCGAACGAACCGCGACUGAGUGCUUGCAUUUGGUCAAGGUGAGUGGCGAACGGGUGAGUAACACGUGGGUAACCUACCUCAUAGUGGGGGAUAACAGUCGGAAACGACUGCUAAUACCGCAUAGGACAUAGGAUCACAUGAUCCAGUGAGGAAAGGUGGCGCAAGCUAUCGCUAAGAGAUGGACCCGCGGUGCAUUAGCUAGUUGGUAGGGUAAAGGCCUACCAAGGCGAUGAUGCAUAGCCGACCUGAGAGGGUGAUCGGCCACAUUGGGACUGAGACACGGCCCAAACUCCUACGGGAGGCAGCAGUAGGGAAUCUUCCGCAAUGGACGCAAGUCUGACGGAGCAACGCCGCGUGAGUGAAGAAGGUCUUCGGAUCGUAAAGCUCUGUUGUUAGAGAAGAACAGCUCAUAGAGUAACUGCUAUGCGUGUGACGGUAUCUAACCAGAAAGCCACGGCUAACUACGUG
rnacentral:rRNA from 1 species